AUUUCUUCUCUUCCCUCAAAAAAUCAAUGUGCAGAAUCUCUGGAACUCAUCCCUUCAGAGGGUCCUUCCCAGAAGAACUGUAUCUCCACUACCUCGGUUCUCUGGAAUAAAUUACAAAGUUUUUCUACACCAGGAGUUCCAAAGUCAAGCUACAUUCAAAGAGAGAAACAACACACUGGAUACUCACGUUAUGAAGAGUCAGACAUUCCUUAUAGGAUAGAACAUGUGCAAUUGAAAUCUAACUAUUAAGUUUUCUGUGGAAAAAAAAACAUAUAUGUGUACUAUAUGGCCAUCUGAUCAUUUUAAAAGCAUACUCAGAAUACUUUAAGAAAACACUAUGAGUAUGAA